GACGCGGAAAAGGGCGGACGCGUGGCCCACGCACUGGAACGGCUCCACGAGUCUGUCACCCAGGUUGGAGUGCGGUGGUGUGAUCUUGGCUCCCUGCAACCUCCACCUCCCAGGUUCAAGCGAUUCUCCUGCCUCAGCCUCCCAAGUAGCUGCGAUUACAGGCACCCACCACCAUGAAGAAUGGCAUUUUUAAAAGAUGGCUUUCUUAAAAAAGGAUACUCAGUUGCUCUUCUACUCAUACCAAGUCCUGCAGACACAUUCUGGGACUGCACCUUAUGAGUGCUGCUCACUCUGUUUCCUGCAGAAGACAUACAGAGCCGUUCGCAUAGAGUAGGGCCAUGAUUUUGAUUCAGCAAUUCUUCAAACCACUGAUGCUGGUUGACCAUUUGACUUUGUUUUUGAAGUAUUUUUUACAUACAGUGUACAGAACAUUUCCGCUGGAUAUUUGGAUACUGAACAGGAGUAACAAGAGGAACAGCUCCUACCUCCCCCCUGCCCCUUCCCUCACAAGCCUGUGAGUCAGGGCAGGGGCAGCCACUGAAAGUAGCAGAGGCCUUCAUAAAGGAGAACACUUCUCCAUGUUGCCAUCAUGUGAAGAAGGACAUGUUUGCUUCUGCUUCUGCCACGAGUGUUGAAGGCAAUGGUGAUGAAAGUAAAUAUUUAAAAACACUACCAUAGCUGUCCCAAAUUUCAGAAAAACAAGGUACCACUGGAACCAUUUAAUUUUGUUGGAACACAGAAUGACCAUCUUGUGAUCAGUUUUCUGCAUCUUUAAAAUACCUGGAAGGUCAUCUUUAAAUAGUACAAUCUGAUAAAAGUUUAAUACUUAGUGUAGACUUAUAUGAAUACUUCUACAUUCAUACAUUUUUGUAUACUUAUACAUUUUCAUACUCAAUUAAUGCUUAAUUCAAAAAAUAUCUGAGUACCUGCAGUGUUCCCCAUGCUACAUACUGGGCUUAAACAGCCAAAAAGACACAGUCUUUGACCUCAAAAUACUUUGAUUCUUGUAAGAAAAACUGACAAAGACAAAGAGAAGGCAAUGUGAAAACUUCUACAGUUGGGAUAACCUUGGAGGUUACAGGAUGUGGACUCACUGAAAGCUUUCUGCUGGACUUGAACUUGAAGCUGAAGUCUGAAGGACAGAUGGGUGUUGCUUAGCGAAGGGAAAGUAGGAAGCAAAGACCCCUGGACAGAGUGUAGCAGGCACAGAGGGAGCAUGACACCUUCGGGAGAGAGCCGCAAGCACCUGGGCCCAGAUCCCAGCUUUAGCUUCAUUAGCCCUGUGAACUCUGUAUGUCAGCCUUGACAUAGAAAAAAAGAGGAUACUAAACCUCCAUCUUAAAAGAGACUUGGAAGAAGCUGGGAUUAUAGGCACACCACCACACCUGGCCCCAGAAAAGGGAAUCCUUGACCUGCAAGAAUCGAGGAAUAUUGUUUCUGACAUGCUCAGUGGACCUACUGCUGGUGUUCUUAACCAUUUCCUUCCUAAGUGGAACUUCUUUUGAGGUUAGUAGAAGCUGCAAACAGAAUUAUAUGGAAUUGAAUAUAAGAAAAUAUACAGUGAAGAGUGCUAAGAAUUCCUCUGAAAUGUAAUGAAAAGGUAGAUUUCAUUUAGCAUUCAGUAUAUUUAUCUUGAAGGAAAAAAGGUGGAAAUAUCAAAGGUUUGAAAAAAAAAAAACCUCUUUGCUUUUUCAUAUGCUAGAUGGAUCAAUUACUUUGUUGACUUAUUUAACAAGAGUCUUGUGGUUAAGCAAUAUAUAUAAAAUCACAAAAGUAUUAUAUUAAUAAUAUAACAUAAUAAUGUCCACCAUGAAAUCUGUAAUGAUAUGCGUGCACCUACCAAGUGUUGGGCACAGUGCUAAGUGAUUUCACAAAAUACUUAUUUAAUCUUCCUGGCAACUCCACUAAAGUAUUUAGGAACUGCUAUAGUUUGAAUGUGCUCCCUCCAAAAUUCAGGUGUUAUCAAUGUGAUAGAAGUAAGAGGUAGGGUCUGUAGGAGGUGAUUAGGCCAUGAGUGUUUCUCUCUCAUUAAUGGGAUUAAGGCCCUAUUAAAAGAGGCUUUGAGCAGCCUCAGGUCAGCUUGCCCUUCUGCUUUCUGCCAUGUGAGGAUGCAGCCAAAAAAGCCCUCACCAGACCAAGGGUCAGCAUCUUGAUUUUGGACUUCCCAGCCUCUAGAACUGUGAAAAUAAAUUUCUGUUC
ensembl:lncRNA MFF-DT MFF divergent transcript